rnacentral:lncRNA from 1 species
ACCGCUCUCCAAGGACUCUCGAGCAGCUCCAUCUACAGAUUCACAUGGAGAAGAAUUAAGGGUUCCUGCCAAUCACCAGCACCACUUUGCCAGCCUUACAGUUGGCAUCUGUGUGAAGAUGUGAAUGGAGGAGGCAGAGUAGGCAGUGAGUGCCGCAGCCACAGCUUGUGUUCUCUGCAGCCCUGGCACAGAAGAUAGGAACACUCAUGGGGGAUGCGGCCACUGUGAUGUCUUCCCACACAAGAAGUGCCAAGUGCUUUUCUCAUGCUUUUCUGGAUUGUCCCAUGGUGGACGAGUCAGCAGGAGUGAGAUGGAGCAGCACAGUAGAGGGGUACCUGGCAAGGCCCGGAGGGAGGACCCCCUGCCCCAAACAUUUCAAUGAUAUCAGGUGACAGCCGUGAUCCUCUUAGCACCUGCUCUGUUUUGUCCCAGGCCAGGAUAUCGUUGUACAUAUUCUCAGCUAAGUGAGCACCAAUAGAGGAGAGGGAGAGUCUCAUGGAAGUUCCUUCUAAGCCUUUGGCUCUUUUUACCUUCAACAAGGUUCCUUAGAUCCUGGGAUGAGGAGGUGGACCAGCAGAAGGUGGGCUUGUGAAGGCAGCCCGGGGUCCAAAUCCUCCUGGCUCUUCAGCUUAGCGGGUUAGUUAACAUUCAGAAGCCUUCAUCUCCCAUCUGCAAAAUGGGCAUGUCCAACUCAGAAGCUGCCUUGAAGAAAGGGUCUACCCAGCAUGGUGCGUGGAGCCUAAGCAGUCAGUACUUCAGGACUUCACCCGGCCCCUUUCCAAUAACUGCUGCUGUCGCCCUCACAGGAUGUCACCUUCAGCGUCUGAAAGCUGGGUUUGAUGCGUCUGGAAAGGCGUCCCUGACAGGCGUCGUUGCCAGGAGCCCCUAGUGCCACCAGCAGCCAGCAGGGGAGGGCGUCCUCUGCCCGCUCACUUCUGACCCUUCUCUCGUUGCACCCGGAACAUGGUGCAGCUGGGAGCAGCCUGGGCUGCGCGGAAGGCUCAGAUUUGGGGACGGCCCUUGCCAGUGACUGUGAGCUGGGGUGUCUUGGAAACUCCCAGUCUCAGCUUCUCCAUUUAUAAGAUGAGAAUGAUCAUACCAGACUCAGGCAAGGUUGUUUGUGCAUUAGUGAAAUCAGACGUAUUAAAUAAAGUACCACAUUGAUCGUGGAGUUGUUGAAUAACCAAGAA